rnacentral:rRNA from 1 species
AGAGUGAACGCUGGCGGUAGGCCUAACACAUGCAAGUCGAACGGCAGCACAGUAGGAGCUUGCUCUUACGGGUGGCGAGUGGCGGACGGGUGAGGAAUACAUCGGAAUCUACCUUUUGGUGGGGGAUAACGUAGGGAAACUUACGCUAAUACCGCAUACGCCCUUCGGGGGAAAGCCGGGGACCAGCAAUGGCCUGGCGCUGAUAGAUGAGCCGAUGUCGGAUUAGCUAGUUGGUGAGGUAAUGGCUCACCAAGGCGACGAUCCGUAGCUGGUCUGAGAGGAUGAUCAGCCACACUGGAACUGAGACACGGUCCAGACUCCUACGGGAGCAGCAGUGGGGAAUAGUUGGACAAGUGGGCGACAAGGCCUGAUCCGAGCCAUACCGGCGUGGGUAGAA